rnacentral:lncRNA from 1 species
CCGGUGGGGAGAGUCAGGGGGACAGGCAGGCUUGCCUCCCCCCAGGCCCCCAGGCCCCCAGGGACUUGGAUCGCUUGCCCCUCUCGUGUUCCAGGCUGGGAGGUUUUCCAGCCAAGGGCCUCUCUCUUUCCUUCCUUUCAGACACCAGGCACCACUGUUUCCUAGGACUUAGCUUCUCUCCUUCCUGCACCCCUGACCCCGCCCACAGCUCAGCACCUGGGGGUCACACAGAGCAGCGACGGGCCACCUGACUGCCCCGGAAGAGCCAUGUCCACAGCUGGGCCUGGCCCAAGUCGGGUAGGGGCCGCAGCUCCGAACGUGGCAAAGGCCUCUCCCUGGAAGGAGCUGGGCUGCCGCAGGAGGAGGGGAAUUUGGCCUUGACUCUGCGCCAGGCAGACAGGCCUGGCAGGAAUGAGGAAGUCCAGAGGGAGAACUCUGUUUUCUUAGUGCAGAUUCUGGACCCUGGAGGACCUGAGCCCCUAAAAGGCCGACCCAAGCUGGGCCUGGCUGGGAACAUUAGAAGGGACCGAGGCGGCGAGAUGUCUAAAAUAGGAAGACGCCGGGGAUGCUUGGCCUGGCUGCCCGCGAUGCUGGCUGCAGGGAUCUGGCCGGGCUGUGCAGAUGGAAAAGCUAAGAGGCCUAAAAGUCGUGGAAUCAGCUGACCAUGGACUGAAACCUCUGAAACCAUGAGCCAAAAUAAAUGUUUUCUACUUUAAGUUGAUUUCCUCAGGUAUUUUGUCAUAGCACCAGCAAGCUGGCUGACACACGGUGAGGUGGAGGGAAAGCUUCACUGGAUCCUAAUCAGGGAUGAUCCCCCCUGGGUGAGG